rnacentral:rRNA from 1 species
CCUACGGGUGGCAGCAGUGAGGAAUAUUGGUCAAUGGGCGCAAGCCUGAACCAGCCAAGUCGCGUGAAGGAUGACUGCCCUACGGGUUGUAAACUUCUUUUAUAAGGGAAUAAAGUAAGUUACGUGUUCCUUGAUGCAUGUACUUUAUGAAUAAGGAUCGGCUAACUCCGUGCCAGCAGCCGCGGUAAUACGGAGGAUCCGAGCGUUAUCCGGAAUUUUUGGGUUUAAAGGGAGCGUAGAUGGGUUGUUAAGUCAGUUGUGAAAGUUUGCGGCUCAACCGUAAAAUUGCAAUUGAUACUGGCAGGCUUGAGUACAACUGAGGUAGGCGGAAUUCGUGGUGUAGCGGUGAAAUGCUUAGAUAUAACGAAGAACUCCGAUUGCGAAGGCAGCUUACUAAAUUGACACUGACAUUGAUGCUCGAAAGUGUGGGUAUCAAACAGGAUUAGAUACCCUAGUAGUC